GAUGAACGCUGGCGGCGUGCCUAACACAUGCAAGUCGAACGGUUAAGGCGGCUUCGGCCGCGAAUAAAGUGGCGAACGGGUGAGUAGCGCGUGACCGACCUUCCCCCCGCACCGGGACAACCGCGGGAAACCGCGGCUGAUACCGGGUACUCCGGGGCCCUCGCAUGGGGGCCCCGGGAAAGCUCCGGCGGCGGGGGAUGGGGUCGCGUCCCAUCAGGGAGUAGGCGGGGCAACGGCCCACCUAGCCGACGACGGGUAGCCGGGUUGAGAGACCGACCGGGCACAUUGGGACUGAGAUACGGCCCAGACUCCUACGGGAGGCAGCAGUGGGGAAUUUUGCGCAAUGGGGGCAACCCUGACGCAGCAACGCCGCGUGCGGGACGACGGCCUUCGGGUUGUAAACCGCUUUCAGCAGGGAAGAACCUAAGACGGUACCUGCAGAAGAAGCCCCGGCUAACUACGUGCCAGCAGCCGCAGUAA
rnacentral:rRNA from 1 species